GGGGUUGUGGCUCAGUGGUAGAACGCUUGCCUAGCACGUGAGAGGCCCUGGGUUCAAUCCUCAGCACCA
rnacentral:tRNA from 1 species